rnacentral:rRNA from 1 species
CUCCUUCGGGAGUGAGUAGAGUGGCGCACGGGUGAGUAAUGCUUGAGUAACAUACCGCUUCGCUGGGGAUAACCAAGAGAAAUCUUGGCUAAUACCGAAUGUUCCUUUUUUAUCCUCGGAUUGGAAAGGAAAAGCCGUAAGGCGCGAAGUGAUUGGCUCAAGUCUCAUUAGCUUGUUGGUGAGGUAACGGCUCACCAAGGCUACGAUGGGUAAGCUGGUCUGAGAGGAUGAUCAGCCACACUGGUGCUGGAACACGGACCAGACUCCUACGGGAGGCAGCAGUUAGGAAUUUUGCGCAAUGGGGGAAACCCUGACGCAGCAACGCCGCGUGAGUGAGGAAGGCCUUCGGGUUGUAAAGCUCUUUCGACAGGGAAGACAAAAGGACGGUACCUGUAUAAGAAGCACCGGCUAACUCCGUGCCAGCAGCCGCGGUAAUACGGAGGGUGCAAGCGUUAUUCGGAAUAACUGG